CCCUUAGAUGCUCUGGGCCGCACGCGCGCUACACUGGUCGAUGCAACGAGUUUCUUUCCUUGGCCGACAGGCCUGGGCAAUCUUUGAGCAUCGAUCGUGAUCGGGAUAGAUUCUUGUAAUUUUUGAUCUUAAACGAGGAAUUCCUAGUAAACGCAAGUCAUCAGCUUGCAUUGAUUACGUCCCUGCCCUUUGUACACACCGCCCGUCGCACCUACCGAUUGAAUGGUCCGGUGAAAUCUCCGGACUGGCGUGAGUCGGAGCAAUCUGACAAACACCGGAAAGUUGAUUAAACCUUACCAUUUAGAGGAAGGUGAAGUCGUAACA
rnacentral:rRNA from 1 species